UCCUCUGUAGCUCAGCGGUAGAGCCAUCGACUGUUAAUCGAUUGGUCCCAGGUUCGAAUCCUGGCGGGGGAG
rnacentral:tRNA from 1 species